rnacentral:sRNA from 16 species
GGGCUGUGCCUUUCAGGCAUCCUCUCCUAAAAACUUAUCGGCUGAUCUUCGGAUCAGCCUUUUUUUUGUCAUCG